rnacentral:rRNA from 1 species
ACUAAAUAGAUACCCAGGUAGUCCACGCCCUAAACGAUGAUUACUCGACAUUGGCGAUAUUACUGUUCAGUGUCUGAGCGAAAGCGUUAAGUAAUCCACCUGGGGAGUACGCCCGCAAGGGUGAAACUCAAAGGAAUUGACGGGGGUCCGCACAAGCGGAGGAGCAUGUGGUUUAAUUCGAUGAUACGCGAGGAACCUUACCUGGGCUAGAAUGCGCGUGAAUGUUUCAGAAACGAGACAGGCUCAGCAAUGAGACACAAAGCAAGGUGCUGCAUGGCUGUCGUCAGCUCGUGCCGUGAGGUGUUUGGGUUAAGUCCCGCAACGAGCGCAACCCUCAUCAUUAGGUUGCCAACGGGUAGAGCCGGGGACUCUAGUGAAACUGCCUGCGUAAGCAGCGAGGAAGGGGGGUACGGACGUCG